rnacentral:misc_RNA from 1 species
UUAUUAUUAUUAUUAUUAUUAUUAUGGCACCUAACAACUUAAACUGGAGAAUUCAUUCAAGUAUGAACCAAAACAGAGGACCAAAGCAAAGCCAAAAUACACGACAGUCUAAAUUUCACGCAUUCAAUCCACUUCUUCAAUCUUGGGUCCAGCACCUGAACCGCCGAAGCUGGUCUUUCCAUAGUUUCCGUUCGGCAUUUGGGCGCCACCCAUUGGUACAUCCCCCGCUGCACCACCCUGAUACAUCUUUGCAAUAAUUGGAUU